UACGUAGGUGGCAAGCGUUGUCCGGAUUUAUUGGGCGUAAAGCGAGCGCAGGCGGUUCCUUAAGUCUGAUGUGAAAGCCCACGGCUCAACCGUGGAAGGUCAUUGGAAACUGGUCGACUUGAGUGCAGAAGAGGGAAGUGGAAUUCCAUGUGUAGCGGUGAAAUGCGUAGAGAUAUGGAGGAACACCAGUGGCGAAGGCGGCUUCCUGGUCUGUAACUGACGCUGAGUCACGAAAGCGUGGGUAGCAAACAGGAUUAGAUA
rnacentral:rRNA from 1 species